CCACCCGUGCCGGCUCCAGGCAGCCGCCCCAAGCAAGUCGAGCGAGAGCAGCAGCGAGGAGGCUCGUCGCCUCAACGGCCAGCCGACUUUCUUCACGCGUCGCCGGUCGCACCUGAAGCCUCCUUCUCAACUCAUCCCGUCCAACUUGAAAACGCGCUUGGAGGCGGCUCCUACCCAAAGAGAAGGGCGGGCGGCUUUGGCAAUUGGCAGGCGCGGUCAUGCAAAGCCGGGAGGGGGAGUUUUUAUCAGCGGGCUAAGAAUAGCCUCUUGGUGACCUGAACUGGUUGCACAGAAUCAACCUGCAGCCGGCUGGAGAGGAGGAAAGAAGAGGGGGAGAAAGGAUCCCCGCCCAAAAGAAAUUCUUGCCGUGCUCGAAUCCUACCAGGCGCCGUGCUGCGUGACCUCCAGCUUUGCCGACGACUCUAAAUGUGCCACGUCCACCAAAAGGCAUCUAAAUCUACCUGAGGCACACAGACCCGUUCCAUUUGAUGGCAUUGGCUGCCGGCGAAAAGAGCAAAAUCAACAGAAGUGAGCUUCCACAAGGUGAACACGCAUCUCCUUUACUUCCUGGCUGGCUACAGUAUAUACACCUCAUCCGGUAUUUAGCAUUGUCCAAAUUUUCAAUCUACAAGUGGAUAUUUGAAUCCCAGUUUGAAUCUUCCACACGAAAAACAAACCAAACUUCCAUUUUGAUGAAAAAUGUUGCUUUAGAUUUUUAUUU